CGACCUCACAUCAGGCGAGACAACCCGCUGAAUUUAAGCAUAUCACUAAGCGGAGGAAAAGAAACCAACAGGGAUUCCCUUAGUAGCGGCGAGCGAAACGGGACCUAGCCCAGCACCGAAUCCCUCGUCCUUGCCGGCGAUCGGGAAAUGUGGUGUAUGGGAGGUAACGUUCCCGAGAGUUUUGCGGUGGUGCAAGUCCCCCUGACAGGGGCUUGACCCAGAGUGGGUGCCAGGCCCGUCUCCGCCACUGCUCUCUCGGGAUGGAACCUCCCGUGAGUCGGGUUGCUUGAUCACGGUGCACGCAGUAACAGCACGAGAUUAUACUUUGUGUACUUAUGGAUGCUUCUAGGUCUCCACGGAUGAUCGACGGAAAUGCUGAACAACAACAUACGACAAGAGCCCUUUUUAUCGAAGGGGCAGCCAAACUACUAUAGAGCAAGUUCUUAAUGGGGAUGGAGAGUAUACAUUUCUGGCCGUGCUAAGAUUUUUUUUUUCCUUUUUUGUGCCGCGAGAAAAGCAAGAUGAAUCCGUUUGCUUUGUUUUGUGCUAUACGGUGAAAACUCAGGAAACGUAGGGCGAGGUUCAUUGUGCUCACACUUCAUGCUUCGCGAUUGGCCCGAAUUCCACAUUAACAUGUUCGGG
rnacentral:ncRNA from 1 species